CGUAUGAAGCAAGCUAACGGCUGACCCAUGAAUGUCCGGUGAAUGCAACUUUUCCCUCUCAAUUUACCCUUGUCUUGCACCCUUGGCAAGCGGAGCGAGAUGUUAUCCUGCCAGGGAACUCGUCCAGCUUCAGACAUGAAGUACUGAGCAAACUUCUCCCUCACUGCCACAACAUCUCUGCCAGCAUUGUUGGUGCCAAGGCGAGGUGCGUUCUGGAGACCUUGUGAUGGCUCAGCUGUGGAUGUUCCAGUAGAUGACCUAGCCGGUAUUGUAGUGCUGGCAUCCCAUCUCAGAAAGUUAUGGAGCAUGCAGGUGGCCUUUACCACGUUCUCUGCCACUUCUGGAGAGACACACAGCACCCGACGGUACACUCUCCAUUGGGAUGCCAGUAUGCCAAACGCACACUCGACCAUUCUGCGCACGUGAGAGAGACGGGUGUUAAACACUUUUUUUUCUCCAGUGUUGUAGCCAGGGUAUGGGCGCAUGAUGUUACGGCGCAAGGGGAAGGCUUCGUCUGCCAGAAACACAUGAGGCAUCGGGCCAAGAUGUUCUGCCCCUGGGAGGAUGGAGUCAUCCGGGAUACCCAAUGUGUUCUGCCGUAGGGCAGUACCAAAAGCGGAGGAGGAGAGGGUUCCCCCAUCAAUGUUUCUUCCAUAGGCCCCGAUGUCAACAAGCCUGAAACAGUACCUGGCGUCGACUACAGCCAGAAGGAUGAUGGAAAAGGCAAAUGUCCAUUCCUGCAGGAGCAGAAACCUGGGCAGCAAGCCUCGCAAACAGAGACCGGAUCUCCAGAUACUGCAGGAAGAUGGCCCACCAGCGGGUUUUGAGGAUCCUGAACGACCUCUCCACAAUGUUACGCCCUCUGGCAUUGUGCCUGUUGUAGCCUCAACAUGACCUGAACAGGUGUAUGCUGAUCAUCCCCCACAUGAAGAAGCCAACACAGAGUGCGGUUAUUUAAAUUGUGUACAACCCGAACAUGGUUUUGACAAACGACUGGAUUGAAUCUGACCUUACUGCCACAUCGGGGGCCCGACAGUGAGCCGGUUACAGAUUUGGGUAUUGGAGCAGGUGGAUGGCCCGGAAGGAAGGUCCGUUCAGACUGUUGGGGGUGCGCGUACAACUGUCCGAGUCAACAAUGCCAUACAUGCCUGUAUGCCAUCUCAGUAUCAUUACGAAACCCAUUACGAUGAUAUGUGUUGUGUUGGGUAGAUAUCCCUUCCAGAUACUUUUAGAAACUAUUUAAAAAAACACAACGGGUCUAUCGAUUGGCACCUGAAAAAAUCAUAAGUGUAUCUGAAUCUAUGCUAUGUGAUCUGCUGUCCGAAACCUAUGUUAUGGAUAAAUUGGACGAGAUAGGCAGAAAAUAUGUGGCCCCUGAACACCAGAGUGAGAUAAUUGAAGCAACGCGGUUGUGGCAUCGUACAUUGGAGUGGCAUCGUGCGUUGUAGGUUACAUACCGUAAUUUAUAAUGGGUAAUUUGAUUUAUUUUGCUUAUGAUGUGUUUAGUGAUUCUGUAUCAAAUAGGCUUGCUGUUUUGAUUCAUAGUAUGGUAGCAAAUGAUGCUUUUAUCAAUCAUAAUACUUUUAUCAGACGUGUGUAUAAGGAUUGUACGGAACCCGUAAAGGGUCAUGAAAAAAAAAAGAAAAGUAUCCCGUGAGCACGAGAAAGUAUCUCGUGCGCACGAGAAAGUAUGUUGUGCGCACGAGAAAGAAUCGUAGGCCUACUCAUAUCACUGGCAGUGUGUGUGUGUGUGUGUGUGUGUGUGUGAGAGCUACCUGCGAUAAGAAAGUAGUGUAUCAAAUAGAGGAAAUCUGAAUGGGUAUUUUAAAUAUUCCAGUUAAUCCUUCCAGUUGCGUUUAACCCAGUAGUUCAUAUGAGGAACAAUUGUCUACAAAUCCAUUUAUCUUCCAGACAUCGAACAAGAAUCCACAAAGACACAUUGCUUUAAAAGUAAAACCAGUUGUAGGUAUAUAAUUUAUUUAUUCACAAGUAUAUACUUAUAACUGCGACUGUUAAAAAGUGACACAUCACAUUAUCAACUGUAAGCAUAAAUAUCAUUUUUUGUUUAAUCUCUCUUGAAACUUGUUAAAUUAACCAACUGAAAACAGUUAUGGGUCAUUUUCAGCACCACUGUAUAGUACAUUCUCCAUAUUGCAUCAGGAUAUAAAAAUAUACUGAUAUUGUGAUCUUUUUUUCUUGAAAACAUUCUUUCCAUGUUGUUCAAUGGCAAAGAAACAAGAAGAAGAGGAAGAAAGGAUCUUGUGCUGCAAGUAAAAGUCCUCAUUGUCAGCAUGUUGUCUUCUAAU
ensembl:lncRNA